AUUGAACGCUGGCGGCAGGCCUAACACAUGCAAGUCGAGCGAACGGCGGACGGGUGAGUAAUGCCUGCGCAUUGCCCCGUCGAGGGGGAUAACAGUUGGCAACGACUGCUAAUACCGCAUACGAUUGGCGUGCUCAGGUGGGAUUAGAUAUUUGGUGAGGUAAUGGGUCACCAAGGCGACGAUCCCUAGCUGGUCUGAGAGGAUGAGCAGGCACACUGGAACUGAGACACGGUCCAGACUCCUACGGGAGGCAGCAGUGGGGAAUCUUGCACAAUGGGGGAAAGCCUGAUGCAGCCAUGCCGCGUGUGUGAAGAAGGUUUUCGGGUUGUAAAGCACUUUCAGUGAGGAGGCGUUACUCGCAGAAGAAGCACCGGCUAACUACGUGCCAGCAGCCGCGGUAAUUC
rnacentral:rRNA from 1 species